UGCAUUCAAAAUCUUAUUAUAAAUACAGCCCAAAAAUGCAUUAGUUUCUUCAUCCCUCAAUUUUCAUAUUUCAUAAGUACUAAGCUUUGAAACAAAAAUAAAAGAAUUAAGAAGAAUGGGUUCCAAGGCAAUUAUGUUUCUUGGUCUUUUUUUGGCUAUUUUCUUAAUGAUAAGCUCUGAGGUUGCAGCUAGGGAGUUGGCAGCUGAGACUUCCAAUGGUAAGCAUUUCUUUUCAUUUGUUCCCUCUCUUAGGGUAUGUUCGAUAAAAAAAAAUAUUUUUCAUGAAAAAUAUUUUGUAAGAAAAUAUAAGUGACUUCUUUAUUUACUUUUUUGUGUUCAAUAUCGUGAUAUAAUCUAGACAGAUAUAUAAUUGGUGGGGUUGGAUGGUGACGGUGGGAUGAAGAUGGGGCGAAGAUAAAUAUGUUUGAUCAUAAAAUUUGUCUACUUUUUGAAAAUUAUUUGAAACAAAAUCCCAAAAUUUCAAUCACUAAUGCUGUAGUUUGAUCAUGACACUUAAUAUAUAUUCUUUUUGUUUCAUGUUAUACGUCUCAAUUACUAUGCAUAAAGUAUAAGAAUAUACCAUAAACUUCCCAAACUUUGCUAAACUAAACUAAAGGUAUGUAAAUUAUAUUAUAAAUGCCCUAUGAGUUUUGUGAUCUUAUGUUACAUUGAAAUUAAAAAAAUUACAAUUAAAUAUAUAUAGGAAGAGGAGUACUCAUUUUGAAAUAUAAUAAAAAGGAAAGUACGACAUAUAAAUUGAAGUGCAAUUCAAAGACUAGUAAUGACUCAUCGUACGUGUUAGCUAGUUUAAUUAAUCUUCACAAUUCAUCGAUGCAGCGGUAAACGUUGAUGGACAUUAUUAUGGAGGCGGCUAUGGUAAGGGCCAUGGAAAACCUAAGAAAUGUUAUAGUUGCUGCAAGAAAUACAAAUAUGGAUGCAAAAAAUACUGCUGCUCUUAUGAAGAAUAUGUGGCUGCCCAGACUCACAACUAAAUAAUUAAUUAUUAUUGUAAACUUUUGAAAUUAAGUGACAAGAUACUAAUAAUCUUGCUACUUAAGACCCUUUGCUUGUAACAAGUAUGAAUAAAGCCAUUCAUUUACAAUGAAUGGUUGGUCAUGAUGUAAUGUUUUGUUGUACAAUAUAUCAUAUUGUGUUAAAAAUGUUUCCCUAAUGUUAAGAUUUUCUUCUUAUUUUUACUUAAGUAUUCUAUCAUCCCUUAAUCAUAUGUUUCAAGAUUGAAUCCUGGUCCGAAUAUAGAAUUGUCUUUGUUACAUAGUAUUUUACUCUAUUUGAAUUUUUUACCGUGAAUCCAAUUUAUUUAAGGCAUCUCUAAUUAAGGAUAUUGAACAUUGAGGGGAAAUUUUAAAAUAUUUAAUUUUCUUGUUAUUUAAUAAAGUAAGGAAAACAAUGCAGAAAAAAAGAAACAAUUUGUUCUUUUCUUUGUAUAAUAUUUAAAAAAAUAUAAUCACAGAAGAAAUAAAAUUAAAGCAUGGGGGACAAACGACUAAUAAUGUCAAAUCAUCACUUAUUUUUUUAUUUCUAAUGAACACUUUAGUCAGGGCUGAAAUCGAAAUUUUAUGAAAACAUCACAACAUAUAAACAAAAAUGAACACAUGAGUAAAUUUUAAUGAUUCAAUAUAUGAUACAAUGUAGUAGCUUUUUUCGACGAAGGAGAGUCAAUUAACAAUAUUAGAUAAGGAUGGUUACAUCAUUAAUAUUCACGAUCACCAUUAAGGGCGUAUUUACCUUAAGCUCGCAAUAUAUAUAUGCAACGUCAACCAAAUAACUCACAUUAGGGGUGUACAAAAAUGAACCGAAAACCGAAUUAAACCGCAAAUCGAGAAAAAAAAAUCCGACUAGUGGUUGGUUUGACUUGGUUUGGUAUUGAAAAAAAAACCCAACUAUAUUUGGGUUGGUUUGGUUUUAACUAAAAAAAACCAACCCGAGACCAAACCAACACGUCAUUAUAUAUAUAAUUUUAAAAUUUAUUUUAUAUUUUAUACAUAAAAAUAUUUACUUUGAAAUAAUUUUUAAAUCUUUCUUAUACUUUUUCAUAGUUUUUAUCUUUUAAUAUAUUAUUNNNNNNNNNNNNNNNNNNNNNNNNNNNNNNNNNNNNNNNNNNNNNNNNNNNNNNNNNNNNNNNNNNNNNNNNNNNNNNNNNNNNNNNNNNNNNNNNNNNNNNNNNNNNNNNNNNNNNNNNNNNNNNNNNNNNNNNNNNNNNNNNNNNNNNNNNNNNNNNNNNNNNNNNNNNNNNNNNNNNNNNNNNNNNNNNNNNNNNNNNNNNNNNNNNNNNNNNNNNNNNNNNNNNNNNNNNNNNNNNNNNNNNNNNNNNNNNNNNNNNNNNNNNNNNNNNNNNNNNNNNNNNNNNNNGAAAACAAAAAUACAGAAUGAUUAUUAUGAAAAAAAUAAGUGAACAAAUGGGGUUCUUUUGUAUAUUUUAUUUUUUGUUAUUGCUGAAUUUGCCGAACUUUUACAGCUUGUUUGAGUACUUGUUACCUAUAUAGUUGUAUUUUGGUGGCGAAAUGGUCUAAUAGACCCCUGUACUUGUAUGAGUUUGUAUUGUGAACCCUUCUACUUAACUCUUUAUCAAUUGAACCCUUAAACUUAUAAAACACAAUUUAUCAAACCCCUCUGACCAUUGACUAGGCUUAUGUGGCAUCAAUAUGGUUGAGUUGGCAAGAGUGUGUGAAUUCACUCUCGUUAAGGCGAGUGAUAUCCUAUUUAAGUUUUAAAAAAUAUUAAAAAAUUAAAAAAAAAUAAAACAAUAAAACAAAAAAACUUUAAAAAAAAUAACUAAAAAAGGCUUUCUUCUUCCGCCAACAGGUUCACAUCCAUUUUUGGCCAUCUCCAUCCCUGUCCAAUCCAUUUUUCUUUCUUCUUCACACUCUUGUCAUCUUCUUUAGCAGAUCUUCGCAUUGGCACCUAGAGAGAGACGACGCAGGUCAGUGGAAGAAGAACGAGGCGGUUGAGGGUAGGAUCUGGUCACGACAGCGAAGAGGUUUUUCGGUCAGAUCUGGUGGCCAUGGUGCGACGGAGAUGAAGACGGGUGAGGAAGAGGGCACGUAUGGUCGCCGGCAAGAGUUGCGACGACGACUGAGACGGCGGCGAGGAGCCUCCUAGAAUAUUUGUAUGCCGGAGACAGUAAGGGGUUUCUUGGCCUUCUGAUACUCCGGAGAGGAUGAAGAGCAUAUCGGUCGGUGAUGGUGAGGGGAGAGAAGCUAGUGCGGUGGCUUAGGGUUUCUAGAUUUGUGGAGGUUAGAGAAGGAGAAAAGAAAAUGGUAAGGGUGUGCGAUGAAGAUGGAGGUUGGUGGGGAGAUCGUAUUUGUGGUCUCGCCGGCAAGAGGAGCGGCAACAGCAGCGACUUUUUCCGACAGUUGGGCCAUUUCACGGUGAAAAUGGAAGAUGAUGUGAGGAGACCCAAACUUUUAAUUUAAAAUAAUAAAUUAAAAUUUAAUUUGUCAAAAUUACAUCAAAACUUUAUGAUUUUUCUUUUGUUAAAAAAGAAAUUAUUAUAUAAAAAAAAAAUGAUGUGGCAAAUUUUAUCUGACAUAGCGUAUGACAUUAGCGUGAUUGAGAAUCACGAUGAGUUGAAAGGGUUCAAUAGGUUGAGUUUAGAUGGGUUCAGGGGUCCAUAUGACAAAGAGGUAAGUAGAAGAAUUCACAAUACAAACGCAUACAAGUACAAGGGUCCACCAGAUCAUUUUGCCUAUUUUGGUAGGACUAAAGAAAUAUUUGAAGUACAAGUAAAUUAUAUGUUCGUAUGAAUACUUUACCGGAAAAACCCGAAAAAUCCGAGGUUGAAAAACCCGAGUUUUAUUGAUUUGGUUUGGUUUAUAGAUUUAAAAAUUCAACACAAAUGGUUGGAUUUGAUAAUUGAAAAAUCCGAACCAACCCGGUCAUGUACACCCCUAACUCACAUGAUUAUGAAUCAAGGAAAAGAAUAAAUAAUUUUCGUCAUGUUGUGCAAAAAUAUAUAUUUCUAAUCUUAUUAAUAUUAGGUUAGGGGGAAACCUUUUUUGGGUUAUUUAUUAUUUCUAUCUAUAUUUUGUGUAUAUAUAUAAAAAAAAAAUUGCAUAAUAUAUAAACGUAUCCUUUAAUUUGGUCUCAACUGACAUCUAGCCCUCCAACUUUGGAUGUGCACAAGUAGGGACUUAAACUUGUAUAGAGUUGAACAAGUAGACACACUAGUCCUACGUGACAUAAUACGCAUAGGACACCAUGUACGACACAAAUUAUCAUGUAGGACAUGUAUAUCUACUUGUUCUAUUAUAUAUAAACUUAAGUGUUUACCAUUAGUACACAUCCAAAAUUAAAGGUUAUAAAUAUCGAUUAAGGUCAAAAUAAAAUAAUAUUUUCAUGUAUUAUACUUGUUUUUUUAGAAGACUUUUCUUGAGUUAUAAAGCAAUAAAGAGAGUUGGCCCCUCUUAUUUAACUUGAUACGUUGUACAUUAAAAGAGUCAUUAAAUACGUCAUUUAAAGUCUUUGAGUAUUGACCAAAUCCAAGAGUAUAUAUACACCACUAUUUCUAGAUAUUUUAGGAUAAGGUAGUCCUACAAGUUAGCAUAUUUUAAAUUACUUUUUUGCAUAACUAUCCAAAAAUAUACUAUUAACACGACGAUUUAUUAUCGAAAUAUAUAAUACCCAUCACAUGCAUAUUAUUUUUUAAAGUUAUUUUAAUGUUUGAUUUUCUACUAAGUAUUAAUCUUUGUUUUUAGUUUGUUUUGUCGGAUGGUGUACGUAAGCCACUUGGUCAUAUUGAUGUGAUAUAUUUACAAAUAUUUUUUCGAAAAAAUAAGUAAAUUUUUAUCUAUUCUUAUGUUUUUUUAUAGGGAAAAAGUCUGAAAUAUAUUCGAACUUUAGCCAUUCUACUUAAUUUUACUAAUGGUGUUAUAGUAUUAACGUAUGUACUUGUGCCUUUCUACUUUUACUAAUGGUGUUUUGAUUAUUUUUAACUUUUAAUUUGAUUAUUUUGAAUAUUUAAGAUUUGUAAAAUACAAACAGAUACAAUUUAUAAAUAUUAUGUUUUUUUCAUCUUAACAAAAUAUUACUUACGACUCCACCAUAAAAUCAACACUCUAUUUAUCUACCACUUGUAGAGCAAGUUGUUCAUUUCUUUGGUCCAUACAUAAUUGCAAUCCGUAUAUGUAUCCCCUCACACCUCUAAUUAUUUAUGCAUUCAAAUCUUAUUAUAAAUAGAGCCCAAAAAUGCAUUAGUUUCUUCAUCCCUCAAUUUUCAUAUUUCAUAAGUACUAAGUUUUGAACAAAAGAAAAAUUAAAAAGAAUGGGUUCCAAGGCAAUUAUGUUUCUUGGUCUUUUUUUGGCUAUUUUCUUAAUGAUAAGCUCUGAGGUUGCAGCUAGGGAGUUGGCAGCUGAGACUUCCAAUGGUAAGCAUUUCUUUUCAUUUGUUCCCUCUCUUAGGGUGUGUUCGAUAAAAAAAAAAUGUUUUCAUGAAAAAUAUUUUGUAAGAAAAUAUAAGUGACUUCUUUAUUUACUUUGUUGUGUUUAAUAUUGUGAUAUAAUCUAGAUAAAUAUAUAAUUGGUGGGGUUGGAUGAUGACGGUGGGAUGAGGAUGGGGGAAGAUAAAUAUGUUUGAUCAUAAAAUUUGUCUACUUUUUGAAAAUUAUUGGAAACGAAAUCCCAAAAUUUCAAUUAAUAAUGCUAUAGUUUGAUCAUGACACUAAAUAUACAUUCCUUUUGUUUCAUUUUAUAUGUCUCAAUUACUAUGCAUAAAGUUUAAGAAUAUACCAUAAACUUUCCAAUCUUUGCUAAACUAAACUAAAGGCGUGUAAAUUAUAUUAUAAAUGUCCUAUGAAUUUUGUGAUCUUAUGUUACAUUGGAAUUAAAAAAAUUAAUUACAAUUAAAUAUAUAUAGUUAAUGGAGUACUCAUUUUGAAAUAUAAUAAAAAGGAAAGUACGACAUAUAAAUUGAAGCUCAAUUCAGAGACUAGUCAUAACUCAUCGUACGUGUUAGCUAGUUUAAUUAAUCUUCACAAUUCAUCGAUGCAGCGGUAAACGUUGAUGGACAUUAUUAUGGCGGUGGCUAUCACGAGGGCUAUGGAAAACCUAAGAAAUGUCAUAGUUGCUGCAAAAAAUACAAUAUGGAUGCAUAAAAUACUGCUGCUCUUAUGAAGAAUAUGUGGCUGCCCAGACUCACAACUAAAUAAUUAAUUGUGUGUAUUAUUAUUGUAAACUUUUGAAAUUAAGUGACAAGAUAAUAAUAAUCUUGUUACUUAAGACCCUUUGCUUGUAACAAGUAUGAAUAAAGCCAUUCAUUUACUAUGAAUGGUUGGUCAUGAUGUAAUGUUUUGUUGUACAAUAUAUCAUAUUGUGUUAAAAAAUGUUUCCCUAAUGUUAAGAUUUUCUUCUUAUUUUUACUUUAAGUAUUAUAUUCUAUCAUCCUUUAAUCAUAUAUUUCAGGAUUGAAUCCUGAUCCGAAUAUAGAAUUGUCUUUGUUACAUAGUGUUUUACUUGAUCUGAAUUUUUUAACGUGAAUCCAAUUUAUUUAAGGCAUCUCUAAGGAUAUUGAACAUCGAGGGGAAAAUUUAAAAUAUUUAAUUUUCUUGUUAUUUAAUAAAGUAAGGAAAACAAUGCAGAAAAAAGAAACAAUUUGUUCUUUUCUUUGUCUAAUAUUUUUUAAAAGUAUAAUCACAGAAGAAAUAAAAUUAAAGCAUGGGGGACAAAAGACUAAUAAUGUCAAAUCAUCACUUAUUUUUUGAUUUCUAAUGAACACUCUAGUCAGGGCUGAAAUCGAAAUUUUAUGAAAACAUCACAAUAUAAACAAAAAUAAACACAUGAGUAAAUUUUAAUGAUUCAAUAUAUGAUACAAUGUAGUAACUUUUUUCGACGAAGGAGAGUCAAUUAACACUCUUAGAUAAGGAUGGUUACAUCAUUAAUAUUCACGAUCACCAUUAGGGGCGGAUUUACCUUAAGCUCGCAAUGCCAUCUAGCUAUUAGUCAUGCAUGGAAAAUAAAUUUUCUUAUGCACAUGAUCAACUAAAUAAAUAUCGUAUUAUUUAGAAAAGAUUUAUAUAUAUAUAUGCAACAUCAACCAAAUAACUCACAAUCUCACAUGAUUAUUAAUCAGGGAAAAGAUUAAAUAAUUUUCGUCAUGUUGUGCAAAAAUAUAUAUUUCUAAUCUUAUUAAUAUUAGGUUAGGGGGGGAAACCGUUUUUUUGGGUUAUUUAUUAUUUCUAUCUAUAUUUUGUGUAUAUAUAUAAAAAAAAAUUAGCAUAAAAUAUAAACGUAUCCUUUAAUUUGGUCUCAACUGACAUCUAGCCCUCCAACUUUGGAUGUGCACAAGUAGAGACUUAAACUUGUAUAGAGUUGAACAAGUAGACACACUAAUCCUACAUGACAUAAUACGUGUAGGACCGCAUGUACGACACAAAUUAUCAUGUAGAACAUGUGUGUUUACUUAUUCUAUUAUAUAUAAAGUUAAGUGUUUACCAUUAGUACACAUUCAAAAUUAAAGGUUAUAAAUAUCGGUUAAGGUCAAAAUAAAAUAAUAUUUUCAUGUAUUAUACUUGUUUUUUUAGUAAGACUUUUCUUGAGUUAUAAAGCAAAUGAAGAGAGUUGGCCCCUCUUAUUUAACUUGAUACGUUGUACAUUAAAUACGUCAUUUAAAGUCUUUGAGUAUUGACCAAAUCCAAGAGUAUAUAUACACCACUAUUUCUAGAUAUUUUAGGAUAAGGUAGUCCUACAUGUUAGCAUAUUUUAAAUUACUUUUUUGCAUAACUGUCCAAAAAUAUACUAUUAACACGACGAUUUAUUAUCGAAAUAUAUAAUACCCAUCACAUGCAUAUUAUUUUUUAAAGUUAUUUUAAUGUUGUUUGAUUAUCUACUAAGUAUUAAUCUUUGUUUUUAGUUUGUUUUGUCGGACGGUGUACGUAAGCCACUUGGUCAUAUUGAUGUGAUAUAUUUACAAAUAUCUUUUCGAAAAAAUAAGUAAAUUUUUAUCUAUUCUUAUUUUUUUUAUAGGGAAAAAAGACUGAAAUAUAUACAAACUUUGGCCAUUCUACUUUUAAUAAUGGUGUUAUAGUAUUAACGUAUGUACUUGUGCCUCUCUACUUUUACUAAUGGUGUUUCGAUAUUUUUAACUUUUAAUUUGAUUAUUUUGAAUAUUUAAGAUUUGUAAAAUACAAACAAAUACAAUUUAUAAAUAUUAUGUUUUUUUCAUCUUAACAAAAUAUUACUUACGACUCCACCAUAAAAUCAACACUCUAUUUAUCUGCCACUUGUAGAGCAAGCUCAUUUCUUUGGUCCAUAAAAUAAUUGCAAUCCGUACAUGUGUCCCCUCACACCUCUAAUUAUUUAUGCAUUCAAAUCUUAUUAUAAAUGAGCCCAAACAUGCAUUAGUUUCUUCAUCCCUCAAUUUUCAUAUUUCAUAAGUACUAAGUUUUGAACAAAAGAAAAAUUAAAAAGAAUGGGUUCCAAGGCAAUUAUGUUUCUUGGUAUUUUUUUGGCUAUUUUCUUAAUGAUAAGCUCUGAGGUUGCAGCUAGGGAGUUGGCAGCUGAGACUUCCAAUGGUAAGCAUUUCUUCUCAUUUGUUCCCUCUCUUAGGGUGUGUUCGAUAAAAAAAAAUGUUUUUCAUGAAAUAUAUUUUGUAAGAAAAUAUGAAUGACUUCUUUAUUUACUUUUUUGUGUUCAAUAUUGUGAUAUAAUCUAGACAGAUAUAUAAUUGGUGGGGUUGGAUGGUGAGGGUGUGGGGAUGAGGAUGGGGGCGAAGAUAAAUAUGUUUGGUCAUAAAAUUUGUCUACUUUUUAAAAAUUAUUGGAAACCAAAUCCAAAAAUUUCAAUCACUAAUGCUAUAGUUUGAUCAUGACAUUUAAUAUACAUUCCUUUUGUUUCAUUUAAUAUAUGUCUCAAUUACAAGGCAUAAACCUUCCAAUCUUUGCUAAACUAAACUAAAGGUGUGUAAAUUAUAUUAUAAAUGUCCUACGAAUUUUGUGAUCUUUUGUUACAUUGAACUUAAAAAAUAUACAAUUAAAUAUAUAUAGGAAAAGGAGUACUCAUUUUGAAAUAUAAUAAAAAGGAAAGUACGACAUAUAAAUUGAAGCUCAAUUCAGAGACUAGUCAUGACUCAUCGUAUGUGUAAGCUAGUUUAAUUAAUCUUCACAAUUCAUCGAUGUAGCGGUCAACGUUGAUGGACAUUAUCAUGGUGGCGGCUAUGGUAAGGGCUAUGGAAAACCUAAAAAAUGUUAUAGUUGCUGCAAGAAAACCAAAUAUGGAUGCAAAAAAUACUGCUGCUCUUAUGAAGAAUAUGUGGCUGCCCAGACUCACAACUAAAUAAUUAAUUGUGUGUAUUAUUAUUGUAAACUUUUGAAAUUAAGUGACAAGAUAAUAAUAAUCUUGCUACUUAAGACCCUUUGCUUGUAACAAGUAUGAAUAAAGCCAUUCAUUUACUAUGAAUGGUUGGUCAUGAUGUAAUGUUUUGUUGUACAAUAUAUCAUAUUGUGUUAAAAAUGUUUCCCUAAUGUUAAGAUUUCCUUCUUAUUUUUACUUAAGUAUUCUAUCAUCCUUUAAUCAUAUGUUUCAGGAUUGAAUCCUGAUCCGAAUAUAAAAUCGUCUUUAUUACAUAGCUUUUACUCGAUCUGAAUUUUUUACCGUGAAUCCAAUUUAUUUAAGGCAUCUCUAAUUAAGGAUAUUGAACAUUGAGGGGAAAAAUUUAAAAUAUUUAAUUUUCU
rnacentral:lncRNA from 1 species